rnacentral:rRNA from 1 species
CAAUAGCGUAUAUUUAAGUUGUUGCAGUUAAAAAGCUCGUAGUUGGAUUUCGGAUGGGACUUGCCGGUCCGUCGUUUCGAUGUGCACUGGCCAGUCCUAUCUUGUUGUCGGGGACUAGCUCCUGGGCUUCACUGUCUGGGACUAGGAGCUGACGAGGUUACUUUGAGUAAAUUAGAGUGUUCAAAGCAAGCCUACGCUCUGAAUACAUUAGCAUGGAAUAACACGAUAGGACUCUGGCUUAUCUUGUUGGUCUGUGAGACCAGAGUAAUGAUUAAGAGGGACAGUCGGGGGCAUUCGUAUUUCAUUGUCAGAGGUGAAAUUCUUGGAUUUAUGAAAGACGAACUUCUGCGAAAGCAUUUGUCAAGGAUGUUUUCAUUAA